UUGACCUCAAAUCAGGUAGGACUACCCGCUGAACUUAAGCAUAUCAAUAAGCGGAGGAAAAGAAACUAACGAGGAUUCCCCUAGUAACUGCGAGUGAAGCGGGAAGAGCUCAAAGUUCAAAUCUG
rnacentral:rRNA from 1 species